UUUCCCCUUUCCCGUAUCUCCCUCUCGCUAUAUCUUUCCCUCAUCUACUCUUCCCCUUUCGCAUUAUCUUCAUCUUUCCCCGCAUAAUCCUUCAUCCCAAUUAGUUGCAGCAAAAGAAAAUUUCUUAAUUGUGGAUCCGCAAAUGCUUCAUCUUUCCCCUUUCCCCUUUCCCGUAUCUCCCUCUCGCUCUAUCUUUCCCUCUCGCCCUCUCGCUCUAUCUUCCCCGUCACUCUAUCUCCCCUUUCCAUAAUCCUCAUCUACUCUUCCCGUAGUCCUCAUCUCCUCUAUCUCUCAUUUUCGCCUUGAUCCCCAAAUCUUGAACCCAGUACCGCAGCCACACGAAUCUCGAAGCCGACGUGAAUCAAGUCUCAAAUUCAAGACGGUUCCUGCUUGUCAAAAUCUCCAAGGCUUGACGGUUCCUGCAGACGGUUCCGGCUUGACGUUCUUUGCUGCUCCGUAUAAAUUAGCUUGAGGGUCUUUGAGAAGUCUCUGCUAUGCACUUUAACCCUUGAUGAGUACCUAGAUUUGUACCUCAUCCGCGUAGAUGGCUUAAGAAGAAGAAUAUCAUGCGCUGUUGA
rnacentral:sRNA from 1 species